ACGGGGGGUGCAAGCGUUAAUCGGAGUUAUUGGGCGUAAAGGGUGCGUAGGUUGUUCAUUAAGUUAUGUGGGAAAUACCUAGGCUUAACCUAGGAAUAUCGGAUAAUACUGGUGAACUUGAGUAGAGUAGAGGGUAGUGGAAUUUCCGGUGUAGCGGUGAAAUGCGUAGAGAUCGGAAGGAACACCAGUGGCGAAGGCGGCUACCUGGACUCAUACUGACACUGAGGCACGAAAGCGUGGGGAGCAAACAGG
rnacentral:rRNA from 1 species